GGUUAAUCUUUAAAUGACUUCAAUUAUUUUUCUUGCUUAGAAGUGGGUUCAUUCUCAUGCUCCGAGUUUUGAAUUUUCAUUACUUGAUUGGGAACGAGACCCACUCUAGUACCUCGGUAUUUAGGGGUGCAUUAGGUGGACAAUUGUCCCCUUUUGUUUGGUGUAGGUGGUUGUACUUAUCUCUUUUUUUUAAAACUAUUUUUGCAUAUUGACGGUGGUCUUGGUUUUCUCUUAAAAUUUUCUCUUUUUUUUUAUUAAUAUAUAUUAAUAUGUUUACCAUUAAAAAAUUAUUCAGGAAUAAAGAUGAUAGACUAGCUCACCAAAAACAUCAGAGGUUAGGAAAGGCUUGAUUGUGACAAAUCAAUUAAAGGUUAGGGAAGACUUGGCUGCGAUAAGUCAAUGAAAGAUUAGGUCAAGAGAUUUAAGAUAUAAGUUCCGAAAGAAAGAAAAAAAUCAGAAAAGAAGAGAACAAAGAUAUAUAAAAAAUAAGCCUCGAAGGAAGGUAUGAAUGAUGGGACAGGGAUUAAUCCCUCUUUUCUAGUGAAUACUAGGUAAAGUGACAGAGAAGUAUAAUGAUGUACUUAAGUAGGAAUAUAUCAUCUUAUUUCAAGAAUCCAUAGUAAAGUAGGUUAAAAUGGAGACCAUAAUACUAUGCUUUUUUUAUGCAUAAAAAAAAAAAUUUCAAAGUUUGUUAUUAAAUUAAAUGAUGAUAAUAGGCGCACUAAUAAUAUUAGGCCUAAGAGGAGGUAAUUUUUUUUAUAAGCAAAUAUUUAUUGAUACGAGUAGGGGUAUUCCAACCCAUACAACAUUUGAUUUUCUGAUCCCAACAUCAUAGUGGGGAAUCUCUAACCAAAUGAAGAGUUGCAAAGAACCUUAAGCCAGAUCCAAACAUUUUUAAAUUUAUUUUAGUUUCAUAUUACAUGCACUUUACAAUAUUGAUGUUUAUUACAUUACAAAUAUCAAGUUGUAGCUUCUCAAAAGUCACAACCAACUCACAUUGCGAAGUGAUACUGAAUCAAAAUAUAUACCAAGGGGUUCACAAUUUCAUAUUCAACUCAUGGUGGCUUUUUAAGUUGAUUGAUGGUUACAAUAAUGCUCCAAGUUCAACUUCAAGGACUCUCUAUAAAUACUGUAACAUCUAUCAACAUUAAGGCUAUGUUUGGGAGUUUGGAGGGGAAGGGAGGGGAGGGUUUUGAAAAAUAGGAAGAAUUGGGUGAAAAAGCUAAAAAGAUUUUGGGUAGGAGGGUUUUGGAGGGUUUGAGUUUAUUCAUAACAUCAAAAACCCCAUAAAAUGGGGGAACUCAAAAAUUGUAUUGUAGAAGGGUUUUGGAGGGUUUUGAAGGGCUUACCUAAAUUUUCCAAAUAUCUUUUAGGUUGUUAUAGUAUUAUGAAAAUAAAACAUUUAUUAAUUAUAAUGACUCUUUUAUCAUUCUAAACAAAAUCAUUUUUUUAAAAUAUGUCAAAUAAUUUCCUAUAUUUUUUUAAAAUUUCAUUUUUGGAAGCCUUCCCCUCCCCUCCCCUCCAAACUCCCAAACAUAGCCUAAGAUAUCACAUAAUAACCACUUGCAUAUUCAUUGUGUAGAGACAAAAAUAUUUGUAACAAUGAUGAAGAAAACAUUUGUUGGCAUGUGUUUCUUUCUCAUUAUUCUCUUAGCUACUCAAGAAGCAGUUGCGAUAUUUAAGCCAUGUGCGAAACCUAGCAGAUUGUUUGGUGGUAAAUGCAAAGAUUCAUCUGACAAUAAACAAUGUGGAAAUGUUUGUACUGGAGAAGAAUAUUCAGCUAGUGGUUCAUGCAAUAACCAUAUGACAUGCAUUUGUUAUCACUGUUGAAUGUCUUCACUUUGAGUUUCUAUAUUAUAGAUUAGAGUUCGAUAAACACAUGGCUGCACUUUUAGACUUAAUAUUUCAAACUAAUUAAAAACUGUUGAAUGGUUUUUGAGUUU